rnacentral:rRNA from 1 species
UACGUAGGGUGCAAGCGUUGUCCGGAAUUAUUGGGCGUAAAGAGCUCGUAGGCGGUUUGUCGCGUCGGCUGUGAAAACUCGGGGCUCAACCCCGAGCCUGCAGUCGAUACGGGCAGACUAGAGUGCUGUAGGGGAGACUGGAAUUCCUGGUGUAGCGGUGAAAUGCGCAGAUAUCAGGAGGAACACCGGUGGCGAAGGCGGGUCUCUGGGCCGUUACUGACGCUGAGGAACGAAAGCGUGGGGAGCGAACAGG